rnacentral:rRNA from 1 species
AACGAACGCUGGCGGCAGGCCUAACACAUGCAAGUCGAGCGCCCCUUUCGGGGGGAGCGGCGGACGGGUUAGUACCGCGUGGGAACGCACCCUUUUCUACGGAAUAGCCCAGGGAAACUUGGAUUAAUACCGUAUACGCCCCUUCGGGGGGAAAGAUUUAUCGGAGAAGGAGCGGCCCGCGUCUGAUUAGAUAGUUGGUGGGGUAACGGCCCACCAAGUCGACGAUCAGUAGCUGGUUUGAGAGGAUGAUCAGCAACACUGGGACUGAGACACGGCCCAGACUCCUACGGGAGGCAGCAGUGGGGAAUCUUGGACAAUGGGGGCAACCCUGAUCCAGCCAUGCCGCGUGGACGAUGAAGGCCCUAGGGUUGUAAAGUCCUUUCACCGGUGACGAUAAUGACGGUAGCCGGAGAAGAAGCCCCGGCUAACUCCG